GAGCUCACAUGGAGCGACAAGCCAGGGAACGCGUCAAGAUGGGAAACUCUGUCCUUUUGUUAAGAACUGCUGUAGGAUGUUUAAGUGUUGCGUUGGGACCAUCUGUCAUGACCUAAUCUUGAUUUCCCAGACUGUUACAUCAACCAGGAUCACCAGACUGGUAAACUAGAGGGUGUUGUCAAGGCCGUUCUUACCAUUGGCUGGAAGUCUCUAUCGUCCUGGGCAGGAGUGGAACAGGAGGCCCUGAGUUCUAAUGUGUAUCUCAUUUCAGCAGGGCGCCUGACACAGCCAGGCUGAGUGAGAUGCUUAUCAAGAGUGGGGUUUGCAUGAGAGAACAUUCAUUCCCAAAGGCAGCUGGUGCCAGACUGAUGGCUGGAUGGAGGACAGGCUGCAGUAUGGACAGGGGCUUCACAUUUGACCCUUUCCCCGUCUCCAUCAAUGUCUGCCAACGGCAAUAAGGAAACACACACAGGCUGAUCUAUCAGGAAAAAUAAAAGUAUUCACUGAUAUAUCAAAGAAAGGUCUUUGGGGACUAGAGCAACGUCUAAAACAAGCAGCAGAAAUACAAUGGGUAUUCAGCAUAAAAUGCUGGGCCUGUGGCCAAAAAGUCAACUGCUUAAGAAGCAGAUGGAGAAAUAUGUCUUAGAAGAGGUGCUGCAAGAAGAGACCUGGGGCUUUUAGUUCACGGCAAGUGAAACCAGUGUGAUGUGCCUGGAAGACUAUAUUCAGGAAGCAUCCAGUGUCUGUAUGGGGCUACCCUGACGGCGUGGCUGGUAAAGAAUCUGUCUGCAAUGUAGAACACACAUGAGAUGCGGGUUCGAUCCCUGGGUCGGGCAGACACCCUGGAGGAGGAAAUGGGCAAUGCAUUCAAUAUUCUCGCCUGAAAAAUCCCAUGGACAGAGGAGCCUGGUGGGUUACAGGCCAAAGGGUUGCCAAGAGUUGGACACCACUGAACGACUAAGCACGCAGUGUCUAUAUAUUCUCUGAUUCAGCAAAUCCUUAUUUCACCAUGCAGUUUGUGCUUCAGGCACUGACUGAGUUGGGCAGUAAAUAUACCAGAGGACCAUUCAGGUGAGGUACCUACCCAUAUAUGGUCCAUAGUUUUCUAGGGCAAAGAAGCAAACACACACAGAUUUGCUGAAACUUGUGACGGACAUAAACGAAGGUCAGAAAGAGUGUGAUGAGGGAUGUACUUUUCCUGGGGUGGCCAGGCCAGGCCAGGCCUCUCUGGGAAAGUGGCAUUGAAGCCAAGACCAUAUGAAGGGGAAGGGGAGACAGGGAGAUGGAACAUUCCAGGCAGGACAAGGGGUC
ensembl:lncRNA